rnacentral:rRNA from 1 species
AAGGGCACCACCAGGAGUGGAGCCUGCGGCUUAAUUUGACUCAACACGGGAAAACUCACCCGGCCCGGACACUGGGAAAUUGACAGAUUGAGAGCUCUUUCUUGAUUCAGUGGGUGGUGGUGCAUGGCCGUUCUUAGUUGGUGGAGCGAUUUGUCUAGUUAAUUCCGAUAACGAACGAGACUCUAGCCUACUAAAUAGACCGUCGGAUACAUUGUGCUCCGACGGGACUUCUUAGAGGGACAAUCGGCGAUUCAGCCGAACGAAACAGAGCAAUAACAGGUCUGUGAUGCCCUUAGAUGUCCGGGGCCGCACGCGCGCUACACUGAAGUGAUCAGCGUGCUUAUUAAUCCUGCUCUGCCAAGAGUGGGUAACCCAAUCAACCUACUUCGUGAUUGGGAUAGGGGAUUGUAAUUAUUCCCCUUGAACGAGGAAUUCCCAGUAAGUGCAAGUCAUUAGCUUGCAUUGAUUACGUCCCUGCCCUUUGUACACACCGCCCGUUGCUACUACCGAUUGAGUGAU